CAAGAGCAAAAUAAUCCUUUGCAGAAUCUCUGCCACUCGGUCAAUGCAUCACCCAGCUCUGCAGCCUCCAGACUGCCAGAGGACAAAUGAGAAAUGAAACCUUCAGAAAGCUGCCGAGCAGGAAUCAGGGCAGGUUCACACCAGCGCAUCAGUUAACUGAGGAGACAGGUCAACUAGACACCUGAGGAGUUGCCUGCAGCCACGCCUACAGAGGUAGACCAUGGUGACCUUAACCAGUCUGUCCUUCCUAAGUCAGGAGUGUAGUCUCCAUUGCUCUGAAUAUUUCAGUAAAAGGGACUUCAACAGCCAAAAGUUGGAAAAGUUGUGAAGGGAGACCAGUUUGCUAUGAAUGCUGAAGAGCUGGUUCCAGGGAUAUUAAUCAGAGAUGCCUACAUCCCCGCUGCUUUCCUCCCUAUGAAGGCAUUAGCAGGACUUCCCAUACCUCCAUGCAUUCCCCUCAAGCAUACAUACUUACAUUGCUUGCACACGUUUUCCAGCAUGGAUGUGAAAACCUAACAACAUAAAUAAAGUAUU